CCUACGGGAGGCAGCAGUGAGGAAUAUUGGUCAAUGGACGAGAGUCUGAACCAGCCACGUAGCGUGAAGGAUGACUGCCCUAUGGGUUGUAAACUUCUUUUAUAUGGGAAUAAAACGUUCCACGUGUGGGAUUUUGUAUGUACCAUAUGAAUAAGGAUCGGCUAACUCCGUGCCAGCAGCCGCGGUACUACGGAGGAUCCGAGCGUUAUCCGGAUUUAUUGGGUUUAAGGGGAGCGUAGGUGGAUUGUUAAGUCAGUUGUGAAAGUUUGCGGCUCAACCGUAAAAUUGCAGUUGAAACUGGCAGUCUUGAGUACAGUAGAGGUGGGCGGAAUUCGUGGUGUAGCGGUGAAAUGCUUAGAUAUCACGAAGAACUCCGAUUGCGAAGGCAGUUCACUGGACUGAAACUGACACUGAGGCUCGAAAGUGUGGGUAUCAAACAGGAUUAGAUACCCGUGUAGUC
rnacentral:rRNA from 1 species